rnacentral:rRNA from 1 species
CCUACGGGGGGCUGCAGUGGGGAAUAUUGGACAAUGGGGGGAACCCUGAUCCAGCCAUGCCGCGUGUGUGAAGAAGGCCCUCGGGUUGUAAAGCACUUUCAGUGAGGAAGAACGCCUGGUGGUUAAUACCCAUCAGGAAAGACAUCACUCACAGAAGAAGCACCGGCUAACUCCGUGCCAGCAGCCGCGGUAAUACGGAGGGUGCGAGCGUUAAUCGGAAUUACUGGGCGUAAAGCGCGCGUAGGUGGCUUGAUAAGCCGGUUGUGAAAGCCCCGGGCUCAACCUGGGAACUGCAUCCGGAACUGUGAAGCUAGAGUGCAGGAGAGGAAGGUAGAAUUCCCGGUGUAGAGGUGAAAUGCGUAGAGAUCGGGAGGAAUACCAGUGGCGAAGGCGGCCCUCUGGACCGACACUGACACUGAGGUGCGAAAGCGUGGGUAGCAAACAGGAUUAGAUACCCUAGUAGUC